rnacentral:lncRNA from 1 species
GUUGGUCUCUAUUUGAUUGUAAGUUAUACCUUUGUUAGUGUCUCAACUACUUUUGAUUCUUGUUAGAUCUGAUCAGCAGUGGAUAAGAUUAGGCAUAUUAUGAAAAAUCCCGCUUUUUACUUACAAAAUUUUCUUUUGAAUUUAAAGUUCUGUUGCCUAACUGGUUUUGGACUCAGCCACACCAUUUUCGUAGAUUGUAGUGUAAAGGUCCGAAUAAAUUUCUAUUGUAGGAUGCAAUGAUUUGGGUGCUUAUCACUUUUAGUUUGGCAUCGUGAACACUACGAAAUAAUUAUAUGGAAAAAGAAAGGGAGGAAGAAGAUUGGUGAAUAGAUAAAACUGUGUUGGAAACAAGUUCAAUGUGUUGGAACUUAAGCUCACAAUGCAUUGAACUUAUCCUCGCGCUCCAUUCCAUGUUUUUAAGCAUAUGGUAUUUUGAAAACAGGUCAUCUCUACGUAAAGAGUGAUGUAUAUGGCUUUGGCGUGGUGCUGCUUGAGAUGUUGACUGGUUUACGUGCACUUGAUACCAAACGACCUAGUGGCCGGCAGAAUUUGGUUGAUUAUGCUAAACCCUUUCUCUGUCAGAAAAGGAAACUAAUAUCCAUUAUGGAUGUACGGAUGGAGGGAAAAUAUUCUUCGAAGGCGGCAUUACAUGCAGCUCAACUCACUUUGAGAUGCCUUGAAUCAGAACCCAAAAAGCGGCCUUCAAUGAAAGAAGUUGCAGAGACGUUGGAGCAAAUUGCAACUAUUAGAAAACCAAAAGAAUCCAAAAGUAAGUCCGUGCAUUCUUCAUCUCAUCACCAUCACCAUGGAGAUAGAGUAGGAUCUGGAAGAUAAAAUGAACAAGGCCAAGCUAAUAUGUUCGAAAACACAAUUUGUAAGUUCCCACGUUAUAAUUUGUUCAAUUUCGAUUUAUUAAAAUUAUUUAGUUUUAACAAAUGCUCAAUUCUUUUCUUAGGAAAUUCUUUAAUACUUUGUUUUGUACUUUACAUGAAGAGUGUGGUUUUGUUUGCGAAAAUGAGUAAUGAUUCUAAAUUUUAUGUCGUCAUAAUAAAGAUUUGUUCUUUAUUUGUCCCCAUCAACUUCUAAAAGCAUCUCCAAAAACUCUUAAUCAUGAAUGCAUUUAACAAAAUUGCAAACUUCAAUACUCCACUACUUAAAAUAAUCAUACCAUAUAAAACUAAAAAAUCUUUUGAAGAUACUUUAUAAAAAUUAAAGUCUCUUAGAAAUGCUUUAAGUGACUCCAUCUUAUGGUUAUGGCAUGUUUGGUAUAAUUUUUGAAAAGUCAAAAUGAACUUUUGAGAUUCAAAGACUGUCUUUUGGAUCUAUUUGACUAAUUUUAUUAAAAAUGCUUCUAUUAGUUUAAAGAGAUUUAGAAAAAAUUGGUUCAAUGUUUCCUCUAAAAAUACUUUCAGAUUAGGAAGUUCUUUUGAAAAUUAGUUUCCAAACAAAAAUAAAUGUAGUUUCCUUAAAAAACUCUUCUAUAAAAAGCAAAAGUAAAAGUAACAGCAAUAAUCAUGUCAAAUAAAUAGACCUUGUUGUAAAAUAUAAGUUUAUUAGAGUUUAGAGGUGAAUGACAAUUAUACCCAUGUAGUCCUAGAAAUUAUUACUAUUGUAUCCCUGAUUCUGCCCUAUAAAUACAAAGCUUUGGUUCUUAAUAAAACACACACAAGACUAUUGACUUUUCUCCGUUCUUUUCUCUGUUCUUUACUUUUAUAACACGUUAUCAGCACGAUAGCUUAAUUUUUCAAAGUUUAGUAAAGGUAAUAAUUUUUAUAGACAUGAAUAUUUAUCAUGUGUACCAAAAUUAAUUUGGUAGCAUGUGAAAUAUCUCAAUAUACAUAUGCAUCAUAAUGGGGUUGCUUUUUCUUCUCUUUUUUCAUCGGCAUGCAUAUUAAUUUUAAUUCACGUUUGUAUGUGUAAUCUGAACACAUUAAUUCACCUUUUUUAUUCAUACACAAUUAUUUUUCCACAUAUAAUUCAGUAUUAAUUCUGUCUUUUGAAUAUGUUACAUAUUAGUUAUAUAUUUAAUUUUUAUAUAUAUGAAAUUCAUAUACAUGUUUAGUAUCUUUUACAUGUUGGUAAAAGAUUUAACCAAUAAAUGAUUUAGUCAAUUUUGUUAACUUUUAUGUAUGGAGAUUCUUUUUCUUAAUGAAUGUUUGGUAAUUAAUUUUUCUAUAUAAAUUCAUAUAAUGUCUAUAUGUUAAUUGAAUAAUUUUAGAUAUUAUUCUAUGAACUUUAAAUUAAGAAUUUAUCAUCUUAUUGUUCCAAAAGUAGCACAACAUUAUAAUUAAUAUUCUAGAAUAUUAAUUGUAUAUCUAUCUAUUAUAAAUAGUUCGUUGUUGCUCCUAAAGUAGAACAACAUUAUUAAUAUUUUAGAAGAAUAUUACUUGCUUAUAAAGAGCAUGAUAUUACAAGUUCAAUAUUCCAAAAGAAUAUUGACUCAAUGCUUCUGAAGAAGCAUAAUUUAAAUUUUAGUUAUUUUAAACAAAUUUAAUGUUGAUGUUCUCGAAGAAACGUAACACACGUUAUAUAAAUAUUCAAGAAGAAUAUUUCAUUGUUACUUGUGUAGGGCAUAAAUUCUAUUAUUUAGUUCGAAAGGUAAAAUGAAUCGUUAAUGUCAAUAUUUCAGAAGAAUAUUGUAUUUAUGCUCUUGAAGAUUAUAUGUCUCGUUGUGUCCUAAAGAAAGCACACUUUAUAUAUAAAAAAAUAAUAAUAUUAAAAAAAAGUUGUGUUAGUGUUACUAAAGAAACACAAUGUUAUUAAUAUUUUAAAAAAGAAUAUGAAUUGCUCCAAAAGAAUAUAAUAUUAUAAUUUCAAUAUUUUUGAAUAAUAUUGAUCGAUUAUAUGUAAAAUCAUGAAUUAAAUUACUCUAUUUAUUUAUGUGUCCAUUUUUCUGGAUAUGUAUUUAGAUAUUGAUGUUCUAGUAAGAUUUUAUUGCUUUUAAAGAGUAUAAUGAUAUAAGAUCUAACCUUAAAUUAUGUUUUUUAUUCUUGAAGAGUGAAUCCUUUCAUGAUUAUUACUGUAAACAAUAAUAUGUUAUUGCUCCUGAAAAGCAUUACAUUAAAAUUUUUCAUAUUUUAGAAGAAUAUUGAUCUAUUGUUUUUGAAUAAGUAAUAGUAAAAUAUAAUGUGAUCUCAAAAUAACACAUUAUAAUUUUCAUUAAUAUUCUAGUUAGAUCUUAAUUGUAGUGUAAAGGUCCGAAUAAAUUUCUAUUGUAGGAUGCAAUGAUUUGGGUGCUUAUCACUUUUAGUUUGGCAUCGUGAACACUACGAAAUAAUUAUAUGGAAAAAGAAAGGGAGGAAGAAGAUUGGUGAAUAGAUAAAACUGUGUUGGAAACAAGUUCAAUGUGUUGGAACUUAAGCUCACAAUGCAUUGAACUUAUCCUCGCGCUCCAUUCCAUGUUUUUAAGCAUAUGGUAUUUUGAAAACAGGUCAUCUCUACGUAAAGAGUGAUGUAUAUGGCUUUGGCGUGGUGCUGCUUGAGAUGUUGACUGGUUUACGUGCACUUGAUACCAAACGACCUAGUGGCCGGCAGAAUUUGGUUGAUUAUGCUAAACCCUUUCUCUGUCAGAAAAGGAAACUAAUAUCCAUUAUGGAUGUACGGAUGGAGGGAAAAUAUUC